AUGGGGUCUCACCAGGUCUGGUGGUGCAGUGUGGCCCUCCUCUGCAUUAGCACAGGAGUGCUAAUAAGAACAGUAGGUUGUCCUACAGAGGGUGGGAUAAGUCCCGAGCCAAAGGGGCCAAUGCAGGCCCAGAGUAGUGGCCCAGAAGUAAAUGGUAAUAACAGGAGAAGUCCUAAGCCAAAAGGACCAAUGCAGGCCUGUAGUAGUGGCCCAGAAGGAGAUGGUAAUGACAGAAGGAGUCCUGAGCCAAAGGGACCAAUGCAGGCCUGUAGUAGUGGCCCAGAAGUAGAUGGUAAUGACAGAUGGAGUCCUGAGCCAAAAGGACCAAUGCAGGCCUAUAGUAGUGGCCCAGAAGUAGAUGGUAAUGACAGAAUGAGUCCUGAGCAUAAAGGACUAACACAGGCCUCUAAUAGUGGCCCAGAAGUAGAUGGUAAUGACAGAUGGAGUCCUGAGCCAAAGGGACCAAUGCAGGCCUGUAGUAGUGGCCCAGAAGUAGAUGGUAAUGACAGAAGGAGUCCUGAGCCAAAAGGACCAAUGCAGGCCUGUAGUAGUGGCCCAGAAGUAGAUGGUAAUGACAGAAGGAGUCCUGAGCCAAAGGGACCAAUGCAGGCCUAUAGUAGUGGCCCAGAAGUAGAUGGUAAUGACAGAUGGAGUCCUGAGCAUAAAGGACUAACACAGGCCUGUAGUAGUGGCCCAGAAGUAGAUGGCAAUGACAGAAUGAGUCCUGAGCAUAAAGGACUAACACAGGCCUCUAGUAGUGGCCCAGAAGUAAAUGGUAAUAACAGGAGAAGUCCUAAGCCAAAAGGACCAAUGCAGGCCUGUAUUAGUGGCCCAGAAGGAGAUGGUAAUGACAGAAGGAGUCCUGAGCCAAAGGGACCAAUGCAGGCCUGUAGUAGUGGCCCAGAAGUAGAUGGUAAUGACAGAUGGAGUCCUGAGCCAAAAGGACCAAUGCAGGCCUGUAGUAGUGGCCCAGAAGUAGAUGGUCAUGACAGAUGGAGUCCUGAGCCAAAGGAACCAACACAGGCCUGUAGUAGUGGCCCAGAAGUAGAUGGUAAUGACAGAUGGAGUCCUGAGCCAAAAGGACCAAUGCAGGCCUAUAGUAGUGGCCCAGAAGUAGAUGGUAAUGACAGAAUGAGUCCUGAGCAUAAAGGACUAACACAGGCCUCUAAUAGUGGCCCAGAAGUAGAUGGUAAUGACAGAUGGAGUCCUGAGCCAAAGGGACCAAUGCAGGCCUGUAGUAGUGGCCCAGAAGUAGAUGGUAAUGACAGAAGGAGUCCUGAGCCAAAAGGACCAAUGCAGGCCUGUAGUAGUGGCCCAGAAGUAGAUGGUAAUGACAGAAGGAGUCCUGAGCCAAAGGGACCAAUGCAGGCCUAUAGUAGUGGCCCAGAAGUAGAUGGUAUUGACAGAUGGAGUCCUGAGCAUAAAGGACUAACACAGGCCUGUAGUAGUGGCCCAGAAGUAGAUGGCAAUGACAGAAUGAGUCCUGAGCAUAAAGGACUAACACAGGCCUCUAGUAGUGGCCCAGAAGUAGAUGGUAAUGACAGAAGGAGUCCUGAGCAUAAAGGACUAACACAGACCUGUAGUAGUGGCCCAGAAGUAGAUGGUAAUGACAGAAGGAGUCCUGAGCAUAAAGGACUAACACAGGCCUCUAAUAGUGGCCCAGAAGUAGAUGGUAAUGACAGAUGGAGUCCUGAGCCAAAGGAACCAACGCAGGCCUCUAGUAAUGGCCCAGAAGUAGAUGGUCAACGUAGAAGGACAGCCCUGCUGGAACCUCACAAACAUGAGGACAAUUUGUUCUUAUCUAGAGCAGAAAUGGUUGCCAACCUGCCCUCCAAAGAAAAGGACUGUUGGGUGUGUGGGAUGGGUCCGGUUGAGGUAGGGGCAGGCUUGCCCCUUAUGGGAGUCCCAAUAGGAGUGAACUUUACUAUAGCAUUGGCAGGAAAAAUACCUUUUUAUACUUUGACCAACAAUGUUAAGGUAUAUAAUCAACCCAAUGUAUCCUAUUACUUGAGGCCUGGUAAUGUCUCAAUCCCGCCCAUUUCAAUGUCUGGGGUGAUGACUGCCCCUUGGUGUAUUAGAGGAUAUGGAGAUCACCAUUUGGGUGAAUUGAAAUGUAAUUGUACUAUGAAUCUUAAUGGAUCAAAUGCUUGCAAUUUAACAGUAAUACAGGAGAAUGGUCAGGCAGAUAAGGAACCUUUUAAAAUGUGGGUUGACAAACAUAGCACAACUCUGAGAGGAGCCCCAAAUGGCACCUAUUGGCUGUGUGGUAAGAUGGCUUACUAUAGCCUGCCCUCGAACUGGGGAGGUACUUGUACUGUUGGGUUUGUGGUGACAGCUAUGAGAACCGUUCCAAAUAAUGAGAGGGAUCUGAUGGCUCUGUUUAGAGACUACAAACUUCCUGGAAUGAGGAGAGAUAAGAGGUCUCUAGAUGACGUCACUCACGCUCAGACACCUGCCUCCAGGUUCUUUGGUGUGUUUUUCUCUGGGUAUGGAGUUGUAUGUGCCCUAGACCAAAUCCAUGACAUCUCUAGACACAUAGAGAACAUUGGCAAUGCAAGUAGAAAUUCCCUGGAACAAUUGAAUGGUGAACUAAAAAAAUUGCUUAAGUUAUCUCUGCAAAACAGAGAGGCUCUUGACUAUCUUCUGGCAGGACAAGGGGGCACUUGUGCAAUCAUUGGGGAUGAAUGUUGUAUUUUUGUUCUCCCAGAUCACUCUUCUAAUGUGACUGAUCUUGCAGAAUACAUUGCCACUGCGGCUUAG
rnacentral:lncRNA from 1 species